rnacentral:lncRNA from 1 species
AAAAAAAAUAUAUAUUAAAACAAAUCAUUUUUUUCAUGUUUUCAGGAAAAAAAAAAGAGAAAAAAAGGGGGGAGCUCUCUCGGGUCUUCUUCUCUGGCGAUCGGACCACCGUUGGUCUGUUGCCGACGAACACCGCCUACGGUGGCCGGAGGCAUGAAAUCGGCCUCUUUUCAACUCGUUUUUCUUCCCCGACCCUAAAUCUGCAGUCAUAACACCUAAAAAACCCUCGAUCGUUGAAAGAAAUCGAGAAAACCAUUUAGUUUCCUUCCUUUCGGUCGCCCAAAAAAGGUAAAAAAAUAUGGUACCCUCUGUAUAUCUAUCUGUAUAUAUAUUAUAUUUGAUGUGUGUAGGCUAAAAAGCGUGAAAAUAUACCUUCGGAUGAAUCUUUUUUGCUAUUUCGAUUUUUUAUGUAUUGCUUUUGUAAUCCCUCUUACAGAUUACAUUCGGCCUAUUUUUAUAGCCGAUUUUCUAGAAAAAAAUAAAAUAAAAAAAAAACUGAUUUUGUUAUACAUUUGCUGGCUAUUCUGGAACUGCUUAGGGUGCGUUUGGUUCGCUGUAUUGGAUUAGAGGUGUAUUGGAUUGGAGGUGUAUUGGAUUAGAGGUGUAUUGGAUUAGAGGUGUAAUAGCAAAUCAACUGUUUGGUUGAAUGUAAUGGAAUAGAGGCGUAAUAGUAAUCUUGUGUUUGGUUGAAUGGAAUAGAGGUGUAAUAGCAUAAUGGAAAAAACUAAAAUGACUAGAAUACCCUUAGCAUAAAUUUGUUUUAGUAAAUGAUUAUUUUUAUUGUUAUUUAAAUUUUAAUAAGAUUAUUAUUAUCAAUAAUAAAUAUUUUAAUCAUAUUUAAACAUAAUUAUUAUUAAAUAUAUUUUAAUUAAAAUAUAUAAUUUAAUAAAAUUCUUAAUAAUUAGUAGAAAUUUGUUUUGGUAAAUUAUUAUUGUUAUUGUUAUUUAAAUUUUAAUAAGAUUAUUAAUAUCAAUAAUAAAUAAUUUAAUCAUAUUUAAACAUAAUUAUUAUUAAAUAUAUUAUAAUUAAAAUAUAUAAUUUAAUAAAAUUCUUAAUAAUUAGCAGAAAUUUGUUUUGGUAAAUUAUUAUUGUUAUUGUUAUUUAAAUUUUAAUAAGAUUAUUAAUAUCAAUAAUAAAUAAUUUAAUCAUAUUUAAACAUAAUUAUUAUUAAAUAUAUUAUAAUUAAAAUAUAUAAUUUAAUAAAAUUCUUAAUAAUCAAUAUUCUUAUAUGAAUUUACUAAAAUCAUAAUAUAUGAUACUAUAAAAUAUAAUUUGAAAUAAUUAAUAUUAAAUAUAUUUCCACAGGUAUAUUAUGAAUAAAAGCAUAAUCAUUAAUGUAAUUCACAAAGGCUUUUACUUAAGAAUAUGGAUCAUGUAUAAGAAUGUACCAUAGGAAUUCUCUUUUGUUUCAAAAAAAAAAAAAACUUCACAUAUCAUUAGAAAAAAAAUUAAUAUUAAAUAUUCUUAUAUGAAUUUUCUAAAAUCAUAAUAUAUAAUACUAUAAAAUAUAAUUUAACAUAAUUAUUAUUAAAUAUAAAUUAAUAAAAAUAUAUAAAUUAAUAAAAUUCUUAAUAUUAAAUAUUCUUAUAUGAAUUUAAUAAAAUCAUAAUAUAUAAUACUAUAUAAUAUAAUUUAAAAUAAUUAUUAUUAAAUAUAAUUUAAUAAAAAUAUAUAAUUUAAUAAAAUUCUUAAUAUUAAAUAUUCUUAUAUGAAUUUAAUAAAAUCAUAAUAUAUAAUACUAUAUAAUAUAGAUUAAUAAUGUAGAUACUUGCUAAGAAAACAUGGAUUAAACAAAUGUCAUGCAUAGGCUUCUUCCAAAAAAAAUUUUCUAUGAACAAUCAUAUAGGCAUAAAGCAACCAUGGUAAACUAUGAAAAAAAAAAAGAUCUAUAUGUUAUCAAGCAGCAAAUCUGUGUUUGUAAUUACUAAUAUGUAUUCAAAAUAAUAAUGUAUUUUUUAUUUGUCAAAAUUUGUGGUAAAGAUCUAAGUUCUGCUCUAACACCUCCACCUCCACCUCAAACUCAAAUCUUUCUUCUUUUUCCAACCCUCUAAACCCCACCCCACAAUAAAGAUUAUUUCUGCAACGUAAAGAAUCAAAGACAAAUCAGUUUCCGAUGUGAAGAAGAAACUGUAAACUUCAAGUUAGGUGAGAAAUCCUUCUUAGCUCAGUAUCAGCAAAUUUUAUGACAUUCUGCCUUACCACAAGCCAAUAGCCUUCCACCAGAUGCCUCCUACUUCAAGCCAGAUUAUAAUAUUCACCACCGAUAUCAGGAAACCAUAUCCCCACCAUUUUGCUAGUGGUACAUAGCCCGCCCCAUAGAAUACAGGUGCGGAUCCAAUUCCAUAAUGAGUAAUGCCUCCCAUUAGGUUGGAGAGGAAUGAUAGAACAAGGGUUCCCUAAUACGAUGGAGUGCCCAAAGCAGUAGCCACAGACAAGAAGGCUGUAAACAUGGCACCAAUAUGAGCAGCUCCACUGGCAAAGAAGUAAUGCGAGUAGAAAUAGAGAAGAACCAGAAUGCCAAAUGACAUUUGCCAUGAAAGACCUAAUCCACCUACGACCUGUAAAAAUGAGCAGAUCAUUGACAUGAAAGGCAAUUCCAAACAUCUGAAUUUUUAAUUUCCAUCAGACCCGUGCUACAAGCUUCGUAAAAAAGGUUCCUAGUGUGAUUGCCAAAGCAGAAGCAUUGAAUACAACAGUGUCAGAACAACUUAGCCUAAAAGAAAAGGAACAUCCUAGGGCAUUGUUUAAUAAGACUCAAAUGGACACGCCAAAGUAAUAUGAAAAUAUUAAUAGAACAUGAAAACAGAACUAGAGAGAGCCAAAUAAUCAUACUGACUAGAUCUAUAUAUUACAAUGUAGAGCACAAGUAUUUCAAUAGUUUGCAUUAUUUAAGACAAGAUAUAAAUAGGCAAUGGUAUUCUGGUUUUUCCUUUCUAUUUUCCUUUUGAGAAAACAUGUGAUUCCAACUAUUUCCAGAAAAAGCAAAGCACCGCAUGUAGAUUAUGGUGAUGGCUCUUUGGUGAUUCCAUAAAAAGUUUUAGUAAAAUUGGACAUGGCAGAUAGAAAAUAAGACGAAAGUACAAGGAAAACAGGACAAACCUUAACAACGGUUUGACUAAACCAUGAGAUGAGACCAUAUUUGUUCAAAUACCCAGCCAUAGCGAUGAGUUCUGCAUGCAUAUUCAAGAGAAGUUGAAUGAGUUAGUAGCUCAUAAGAAAUAAAAGUAGAGUCGCUCAAAAGAAAUGUCUCAUCCAUACAUAGAGCAAAAGAAAGGGAGGCAGAGAAAAUAAGGCACUUCGCCAUAGUUUUUAAGUUUAGAAAUGUAUUACAAAUAAAUGGAAACAAGCAAACAUAAAACCAAAUCUAGUCACUUAAAUUACAAUAAAACAGAUGGGAAUUAUGAGUAUAAUCAUAUGACUAGAUAUUGCAAAAUGACAAAAAUAAAAGUAUGGUACAAUAAGCAAAAGUUGAAACCUGAUUUUAAACAUCAAAUAUUUUGUCUCAUAUCCAACACAUUAGCACAACGGAUUAACAAAAGGCAUUAGCUUUCCAUUUUGCACUAUCACACAUUUUCCAUAGAGGGAAAAAAGAAUAGGGGAAAUUUCAGAACUUGAUUGUAACUAAAAAGCAUUCCAACAUUUGUUAUCCCCGUUACAUAUGAAGAAUAUAGAACAAGUGCAAGUGACCAUAAAUAGCUAUGCAUUUCAAUGCAUUUCAAUGCCCAAUUAGAUAACCAACAAUAAAAAGCCCAUGUUUGACUGAAAUUGAGAACCACUGCCAUAUAAGGAUAUCUGCACAAUCAAGAAACAAAUUGCCAAGAUAAUGAGAAAUUUCUUAAGAGGGGCCAUUCAAAUAUUUCUGUUUCAGUAAUGAAUGUUCACCAUUUUAAAUGCAACAGUGGAAUACCAUAAUAUUUUAAACACGAACUUGGGCUCACAAGUGAAACAUCAUAAGUUUAGGUUUUAGGUGGCUUGUUGCUUAGCGAGUGAAGCACCAAAAGAGGCAUCAAUGUGGAUCACAAUCUUUUAGAAUUACUUUCUUCUAACCAGAAAAAAAAGGUCUUUCUACUGAUAAAUCACACAAAAUCCUCAAUAUCACCAGCAACAUUCUACAUUAAGAUCAUCUUACCCACAUUCCCAGUUGAAUUCUCCUUCACAAUACAUACCAAAAGCUUCAAGAAUUACUGCUAAAAGAGCAGCCAAUAUCUUGAUUAUCAUCUGUUAAGGAAGAAUACAAAUCUAUUAAAAAAGGAAACCAACAACAACAAAAAAAUUAAGUAUUUCAUUUUCUUCAAGCUAAAGAGAACUUACAUAUUGAACAAUGCUGAACUUGACAACUUGGUAAAACCAUCGACCAAGUUUCCAUGGUUUUAGGACAUAUUUCAUAGGAAAUGAGUGCUUAAUAGUUCCUUUUUCACAACUGUGUCCCAAUAGUGGAGUUUUAGAAUUUGCUCGUCCCAGUCUUCUCAUGAAAGCAAUUGUCCUCUCUUCCCCACCUUAAAGCAGAAAUUGAAGGAAAUAUUCCAAAAAUAAAAUAAAUUUUCUCAACAUCAGCCACAACUAUAAACAAUAUUAACGCUGAAAAAUGAAGAGCAUUAGAAAAUAAAAGGGAGAAGAACAAUGCAAAAUGAAAUAAACAUAAUUUAGGUUGAAGAUUCACCUUCUCCCUCUGGUUGAUCGAGAAGCACGAUCCAGGAAAAAGGAAGAAACAACAAGAAAUAAGAAACUCUUCCACCAGAAUCCAAACCUCUCAAAAUCCUAAACUCUCUGUUUCAAUUUCUAAGAGAGAAAAACUACAAGAAAUACUAAAAUUAAAGCUACGUCAACAAUGGAAUCAUAAUAUAGAAAAUUAAAUAUCUGAAUUAAGUAAAAAGAGAGAGAAAAAUCUAAAUGAGAGACAAAUAAGGGGACAAUGUUGAAGACAAUGUUGAAAAAUCUAAAGGAGAGAAAAAUUAAAACAGAGAAAGUCGAAGACAAUGUUGAAGCAAAGAUUCAUACCUGAAAUCGGCCUCCGAUGAAGACAAUGUUGAGGAUUUGUUAUGAAAGCAGAAGAAAUGAGGACAGAGCAAUACCGAUGGAAGAAGAAGCAGAAAUCUAUGAGGGCAAAAAAAGAAACGAAAAUAAGAAAUGGGUAAGGAUUCUCAAAUCGGUGCUGGAGGGGGUAUUAGCUAUUACGGGACCGGGUGUAUUAGGGAAGGAACAGAUUUGGGACGUAAUGAGAAUACAACCAACCAAACAACAGAUUAAGGGAGGAUUAAGUAGGGCCCACCGAUUAGGGGUGUAUUGGCAUAGCCAAUACACCCAACCAAACAUGGUGUUAGUUGUUUCCUCUCGCAGGUUCGAUUGACGUGGAUGUACAAAGGCCGUACAAAGGCAACACAUGGGGUGUACGGCGUAUAGAGGCGCUGGAGACUGCUGUUGAGGAAGCUACGAUGCUGUGCUAGGGUUUCAAUUUCUAAAACCACACUCUGGGCCAUUUGGGCUCAUUUUAAGAUUGGGCAUGCAAAUUUGGGUCAGAUUGGGUUCUUAUUGUAAAAUGGGUUUUGAAAUUUAGGCUUUAAUUUGUAUUUGGGCUGGUGAAGGUUGUAAGUGGACUAUUUGUACUGUUUUAAUUUGGACUUUAUUUAAUUUUUAUUUUAAUUUAUUUUUGGUUUAUUUACUUUUUUGAUAAUUUAUGGGCCCGAGCGAAAUAAACCUAUUACAGGAAUUCUCCCGUU